UACGAAGGGGGCUAGCGUUGUUCGGAAUUACUGGGCGUAAAGCGCGCGCAGGCGGCUCUUCAAGUCAGGGGUGAAAGCCCAGAGCUCAACUCUGGAACUGCCUUUGAGACUGAAGAGCUUGAGUACGGGAGAGGUGAGUGGAAUUCCCAGUGUAGAGGUGAAAUUCGUAGAUAUCGGGAGGAACACCAGUGGCGAAGGCGGCGACCUGGGGCCAAUAUUGACGCUGAGGUGCGAAAGCGUGGGGAGCAAACAGG
rnacentral:rRNA from 1 species